rnacentral:other from 2 species
CAUUUCCUGCCGUGCACGACCAACCUGACAAAACAAGAGCCCGGACCGUUAAGAAAUCGCGACGGGAACCUUAGCAAGACGGCGGCUGUCAUGCCUCUUUUACAGGAAGGCAAAAGUUGACGUUGCGGGUGCCCACCUGACCAUUCAGGAACGUGAGCUCCAACACCCAGGGACGGCAUGUGCGGGGCCUUC